rnacentral:tRNA from 1 species
CACAUUGUAACUCAAUGGAAGAGAACUUACCUGGCAUGCACAAGGCCCUGGGUUCAACCCCAGUACUGAGG